UGUUUUUUAAAGAAUGCUAUAUGAUGUGUUGGGGUUUGGUACAACAGUUGGUUUCUUUUUUUGGUUUGCCUUAUUUCUUUAUCUUGAAGUAAACUUUUGCCAGUGAUUACAUGCCUUUUUUUCUCUUUACCCAUGUGGUACUUUUUCCUCUUUCUGCUGUUUGAAGAGAACGAUUUUCAGGAAAAUAAGUCUGUCAACAAUAAUGACAGCCAGCUGUGUUCCACUAUAUCUAGGAAAUUUAAUUUUCACAUUAAGGAUUCUGAUCUCUCGCAAUGCUCUGUGAAGACAGAUGCCAUUAAUUUCGUUGUUUCAUGACUGUAGAGCUAAUGGCUCAUACGUAUGGAUCAAGGAAAUUUAAUUGGAAUUGACUCCUCGAAAAUUUGAAGUUCUUUUAUAUAUCUAUGUAUUGCACUUUGCUAAAUCUAAUAUGAAUAUAGAAUUCUUAUUUACUAAGUUAGUUAAAAAAAACGUGCCUGACAUAACUCUAAGGUUAAUUUGAUUGAGUUUGGCUUUUUGAUUCAAAUAAUGUAGGUUUAUAUGUGGUGCAUCCAUCUUUAUCACUUAUGGAUAAUAUAAUAAUAAUAAUAAUAAUAAUGUACAAAAUGAGGGUGAAAAAGGACAAAGGAGAAGACACUCGGGCCGCAUUAGAGGGGAAGAUUAGCGAAGGGAAAAAAGACAAAAGCGCCAGAGCUGCAUCUUAUUUUCUUCGCGAGAACUUAAAAGGAAUGAAAGUAAUUGUGCCUCCAUCUAAAUUUAAUAUGAAUAUAAAAUUCUUAUCUACUAUGUUUUUCAAAAACAAGUGCGUGUCCCACGUGCACUCAGCACAUUAUGUAGCUAUAAGAUCAGGUAGAUUGCGAUGCAUAU
rnacentral:lncRNA from 1 species